rnacentral:rRNA from 1 species
UGGGGAAUAUUGCACAAUGGAGGGAACUCUGAUGCAGCGACGCCGCGUGAACGAAGAAGGCUUUCGAGUCGUAAAGUUCUUUUAUAUGGGAAGAUAAUGACGGUACCAUAAGAAGAAGCCCCGGCUAACUACGUGCCAGCAGCCGCGGUAAUACGUAGGGGGCUAGCGUUGUCCGGAAUCACUGGGCGUAAAGGGUUCGCAGGCGGAAAUGCAAGUCAGGUGUAAAAGGCAGUAGCUUAACUACUGUAAGCAUUUGAAACUGCAUAUCUUGAGAAGAGUAGAGGUAAGUGGAAUUUUUAGUGUAGCGGUGAAAUGCGUAGAUAUUAAAAAGAAUACCGGUGGCGAAGGCGACUUACUGGGGUCAUUCUGACGCUGAGGAACGAAAGCGUGGGUAGCAAACAGG